ensembl:lncRNA
UUUUUUUUUUUUUUUUUUUCAUUCACGAGGCAAGAUGAAACUCUUAUCCUUAAUAGUGCUUUGACACCUCAAAGCAGUAUCUGAUGUGAAGCAAAAAUUUGCGUUUUGCAUUUUUUCAAGCAAGUGGGAAAUAAAUCAUUUGCUUGACCCUGUUCUUCUUCCUAGUUAACCUGGAGAUUAUGUUAAAUAUUGUUGUGAAAGGAGUGUGAAUUGGAAUGUUUCACCUAUUUAAUUUAAUAGGAACACCUAUUUAAUAUUAUUGACUGUAAAAUUUUGAAGCCUGGCAACCACUGAAAUUUGGGCAUCACAGUAGAAUCAGUCAUGACCCCUGGGUGUGACUCUGUCAUUUAUAAGAGUGUUGCUGUGUUUGACUUGUGUGUACCAGCAAUCAAGCUGAUAGAGUUGAAACAGUAUUGCUAUGACAUAAUAGCAGGGGCUUUUUAUAAUAUUGUCCCCAAAUCAUGACAAUUGUGUUGCAUUUCAGAUUUAUACCUUUUAAGGAUGCACUUCUCUGCAUGCCCCAUCCCUAUCCCUGGUGCCCAAAGCCAUGUUUGUUCAAGGAGCCUGGUCCCCAGUUUCAGUGGAGUAGAUGAGGUUGAACAGUAGUCCCAAGAUGGCAAGGUCUCCUUCUAGGAACUGGUAUUGAAAGGGAAGAGGAAGAAGGAGAGAAUGAAUGGGAGAGAGCAAAACUGAGAGAUCCUAUUUCUCUGGGUAGUAGAUUUGGGUGCUUGGGCUGAAAUCAAGAUGUUGGCCUGGUUGAUUCCUUCUGAGGGCUGUGAGGGAAGGAUCUGUUCCAGGCCUCUGUCCUUGGUGUGUAGAUGGUCGUCUUCUCCCUGCGUGUUUUUACAGUGUCUUCCCUCUAUGCAUCUGUCUCUGUGUCCAAAUUUCCCCAUUCAAUAAGGACCGGUCAUACUGAAUUAGGACUUACUCUAAUGACCUUAUUUUAACUGGAUCACCUCUGUAAAGACCCUAUCUCCAGAUAUGGUAUUAGGGUGUAGGACUCCACCAUCUUUUUUCAGAGGACACAAUUCACCACCUAAGAGGUGCUCUAAGCCACUGCCCUGCUGUAUGGACUGGGAAGUACAGGAAGGUGAUUUGCAGAGACAAAGAGUAAGACACAAACGACAUGGGAAGAAACGACUUCACAGAUUAUUGACUCUUUCCCAUUUUUCCUGGAGAUGAGUUGUAUUCCUAACCUUGGAUUCAGUGAGCUACCACUGUGGGCUUCCAACAUGUUCCCAUUGCUUAAAUGUAGUUCCUGUAUGUUUAGCUAAAAAAUGCUAACUAAUAUGAUAACCAAAUUGGGACAGACAUUGUAGUAUGACACUCUAAGGAUCUGGGUGUUACCUGUGGGUCUUGUGAAGCCAUCGCUGGUUAGAUGAACUGGAAAAGGGAGGCAGAAAGAACUCUUAGAAGCCUAUUCUCAUGGAAUUAUGAGGUGAGGGAGAGUAAGGAGGAAUGGAACCUGUAGAUUUUGGUUCUUUUUAGAGUACCUGUUACUGUACAAGCCCUUUCAUUUAACUGGGGCCCACAUUAAGGACAUGGAUUAAAGAGAUUCAAAGAGGGAGAGGGAGGAACCCAUGCUGACUUGGAACUUUCUGCUUUAGGCGGUGGGGUUGAUAGGUUUGGUGUUAACUUGACAGAGACUGUGUUUGAGGAAAGACAGA